GACGAACGCUGGCGGCGUGCUUAACACAUGCAAGUCGAACGGAAAGGCCCUGCUUUUGUGGGGUGCUCGAGUGGCGAACGGGUGAGUAACACGUGAGUAACCUGCCCUUGACUUUGGGAUAACUUCAGGAAACUGGGGCUAAUACCGGAUAGGAGCUCCUGCUGCAUGGUGGGGGUUGGAAAGUUUCGGCGGUUGGGGAUGGACUCGCGGCUUAUCAGCUUGUUGGUGGGGUAGUGGCUUACCAAGGCUUUGACGGGUAGCCGGCCUGAGAGGGUGACCGGCCACAUUGGGACUGAGAUACGGCCCAGAAUCCUACGGGAGGCAGCAGUGGGGAAUAUUGCACAAUGGGCGGAAGCCUGAUGCAGCAACGCCGCGUGCGGGAUGACGGCCUUCGGGUUGUAAACCGCUUUCGCCUGUGACGAAGCGUGAGUGACGGUAAUGGGUAAAGAAGCACCGGCUAACUACG
rnacentral:rRNA from 1 species